CCAAUAGCGUAUAUUAAAGUUGUUGCAGUUAAAAAGCUCGUAGUUGAACUUCGGGGUUUACUCAUUGGUCAGGCUUAAUUGUCUGUACUGGUGAGAUGAAUCUCUACCUUCUGAGGAACUUUCAUGCCAUUUAUUUGGUGUGAUGGGAAAUCAGGACUGUUACUUUGAAAAAAUUAGAGUGUUUAAAGCAGGCUAACGUCUGAAUACAUUAGCAUGGAAUAAUGAAAUAGGACGGACUGAUUCUAUUUCGUUGGUUUCUAGGAUCACCGUAAUGAUUAAUAGCGAUAGUUGGGGGCAUUAGUAUUCAAUUGUCAGAGGUGAAAUUCUUGGAUUUAUUGAAGACUAACUACUGCGAAAGCAUUUGCCAAGGAUGUUUUCAUUAAUCAAGAACGAAAGUUAGGGGAUCGAAGACGAUCAGAUACCGUCGUAGUCUUAACCAUAAACUAUGCCGACUAGGGAUCGGAUGAUGUUAAUUUUUUAAUGACUCAUUCGGCGCCUUACG
rnacentral:rRNA from 1 species